rnacentral:rRNA from 1 species
GGAAACUUGUGCUAAUACCGAAUGUGCCCUUCGGGGGAAAGAUUUAUCGCCAUUAGAGCGGCCCGCGUCUGAUUAGCUAGUUGGUGAGGUAAAGGCUCACCAAGGCGACGAUCAGUAGCUGGUCUGAGAGGAUGAUCAGCCACAUUGGGACUGAGACACGGCCCAAACUCCUACGGGAGGCAGCAGUGGGGAAUCUUGCGCAAUGGGCGAAAGCCUGACGCAGCCAUGCCGCGUGAAUGAUGAAGGUCUUAGGAUUGUAAAAUUCUUUCACCGGGGACGAUAAUGACGGUACCCGGAGAAGAAGCCCCGGCUAACUUCGUGCCAGCAGCCGCGGUAAUACGAAGGGGGCUAGCGUUGCUCGGAAUUACUGGGCGUAAAGGGAGCGUAGGCGGACAUUUAAGUCAGGGGUGAAAUCCCGGGGCUCAACCUCGGAAUUGCCUUUGAUACUGGGUGUCUUGAGUAUGAGAGAGGUAUGUGGAACUCCGAGUGUAGAGGUGAAAUUCGUAGAUAUUCGGAAGAACACCAGUGGCGAAGGCGACAUACUGGCUCAUUACUGACGCUGAGGCUCGAAAGCGUGGGGAGCAAACAGGAUUAGAUACCCUGGUAGUCCACGCCGUAAACGAUGAUUGC